rnacentral:rRNA from 1 species
CCUACGGGGGGCUGCAGUGGGGAAUAUUGGACAAUGGGGGGGACCCUGAUCCAGCCAUGCCGCGUGUGUGAAGAAGGCCCUCGGGUUGUAAAGCACUUUCAGUGAGGAAGAACGCCUGGUGGUUAAUACCCAUCAGGAAAGACAUCACUCACAGAAGAAGCACCGGCUAACUCCGUGCCAGCAGCCGCGGUAAUACGGAGGGUGCGAGCGUUAAUCGGAAUUACUGGGCGUAAAGCGCGCGUAGGUGGCUUGAUAAGCCGGUUGUGAAAGCCCCGGGCUCAACCUGGGAACGGCAUCCGGAACUGUCAAGCUAGAGUGCAGGAGAGGAAGGUAGAAUUCCCGGUGUAGCGGUGAAAUGCGUAGAGAUCGGGAGGAAUACCAGUGGCGAAGGCGGCCUUCUGGACUGACACUGACACUGAGGUGCGAAAGCGUGGGUAGCAAACAGGAUUAGAUACCCUGGUAGUC